rnacentral:ncRNA from 2 species
UGUCCCAGACAGGGGCGUCCGGCGUAAAGCUGGGCUGAGAAGUACCCUUUGAACCUGAACCAGAUCAUGCUGGCGGAGGGAGUCGUUCGGUUCUUCGA